rnacentral:rRNA from 1 species
UACGGAGGGUGCAAGCGUUAUCCGGAUUCACUGGGUUUAAAGGGUGCGUAGGCGGGCAGGUAAGUCAGUGGUGAAAUCUCCGGGCUUAACCCGGAAACUGCCGUUGAUACUAUCUGUCUUGAAUAUCGUGGAGGUAAGCGGAAUAUGUCAUGUAGCGGUGAAAUGCUUAGAUAUGACAUAGAACACCCAUUGCGAAGGCAGCUGGCUACACAAAUAUUGACACUGAGGCACGAAAGCGUGGGGAUCAAACAGG